GCUCUUCCGAUCGCACGAUUACAAGGAAACGGCUCGAUCUACGUCAGUUUAGUAAGAGAGCUUUUUUGUAGGAAAUUUAAUUUCCUUCAAAAAUAUGGAUUGUUGAUAUUUUUCAGAUUGAUAAUUGACGGAUUUUGGGUAAAAAAAUGCG